rnacentral:rRNA from 1 species
CCUACGGGUGGCAGCAGUGGGGAAUAUUGGGCAAUGGGCGCAAGCCUGACGCAGCAACGCCGCGUGAGGGAAGAAGGAUUUCGGGAUGUAAACCUCUAUCAAGAGGGAAGAGGAGAGGAGGGACCCUAUUGAGUAACCCACGGUGAACUAGGGGCCACCAGCCGCGGUAAGACGAAGGUGGCAAGCGUUGUCCGGAUUUACUGGGUGAAAAGGGGGGGCAGCCGGGAAGACAAGUCUGAAGUGAAAGCCCGCGGCUUAACCGCGGAACUGCAUUGGAAACUGUUUGUCUUGAGUGCCGGAGAGGUCAGCGGAAUUCCUUGUGUAGCGGUGAAAUGCGUAGAUAUUAGGAAGAACACCAGUGGCGAAGGCGGAUGACUGGACGGCAACUGACGGUGAGGCGCGAAAGCGUGGGGAGCAAACAGGAUUAGAUACCCGGGUAGUC